rnacentral:rRNA from 1 species
AUUGAACGCUGGCGGCAUGCCUUACACAUGCAAGUCGAACGGCAGCACGGGAGCAAUCCUGGUGGCGAGUGGCGAACGGGUGAGUAAUAUAUCGGAACGUGCCCAGUCGUGGGGGAUAACGUAGCGAAAGCUACGCUAAUACCGCAUACGAUCUAUGGAUGAAAGCGGGGGAUCGCAAGACCUCGCGCGAUUGGAGCGGCCGAUAUCAGAUUAGGUAGUUGGUGAGGUAAAGGCUCACCAAGCCGACGAUCUGUAGCUGGUCUGAGAGGAUGAUCAGCCACACUGGGACUGAGACACGGCCCAGACUCCUACGGGAGGCAGCAGUGGGGAAUAUUGGUCAAUGGGCGCAAGCCUGAUCCAGCCAUGCCGCGUGUGUGAAGAAGGUCUUCGGAUUGUAAAGCACUUUAAGUUGGGAGGAAGGGCAGUAAGUUAAUACCUUGCUGUUUGACGUUACCAACAGAAUAAGCACCGG